rnacentral:rRNA from 1 species
UGGGGAAUAUUGGACAAUGGGCGAAAGCCUGAUCCAGCCAUGCCGCGUGUGUGAAGAAGGUCUUCGGAUUGUAAAGCACUUUAAGUUGGGAGGAAGGGCAGUAAGCGAAUACCUUGCUGUUUUGACGUUACCGACAGAAUAAGCACCGGCUAACUCUGUGCCAGCAGCCGCGGUAAUACAGAGGGUGCAAGCGUUAAUCGGAAUUACUGGGCGUAAAGCGCGCGUAGGUGGUUCGUUAAGUUGAAUGUGAAAGCCCCGGGCUCAACCUGGGAACUGCAUCCAAAACUGGCGAGCUAGAGUAGGGCAGAGGGUGGUGGAAUUUCCUGUGUAGCGGUGAAAUGCGUAGAUAUAGGAAGGAACACCAGUGGCGAAGGCGACCACCUGGGCUCAUACUGACACUGAGGUGCGAAAGAGUGGGGAGCAAACAGG